GACGAACGCUGGCGGCGUGCCUAAUACAUGCAAGUCGAACGCGUGUCGAACGGGUGAGUAACACGCGGGUGAUCUGCCUUGCACACUGGGAUAAGCGUGGGAAACUGGGUCUAAUACCGGAUAGUGCAAGAUGAGCUCGCGGCCUAUCAGCUUGUUGGUGGGGUAAUGGCUACCAAGGCGCGACGGGUAGCCGGCCUGAGAGGGUGUACGGCCACAUUGGGACUGGGAUACGGCCCAGACUCCUACGUGAGGCAGCAGUGGGGAAUGUUGCACAAUGGGCGGGAGCCUGAUGCAGCGACGCCGCGUGGGGGAUGAAGGCCUUCGGGUUGUAAAGUACUUUCAGCGAGGAGGCGUUACUCGCAGAAGAAGCACCGGCUAACUCCGUGCCAGCCGCCGCGGUAAUAC
rnacentral:rRNA from 1 species